UACGUAGGGCGCAAGCGUUGUCCGGAAUUAUUGGGCGUAAAGAGCUCGUAGGCGGUUUGUUGCGUCUGUCGUGAAAGCCCACAGCUUAACUGUGGGUCUGCGGUGGAUACGGGCAGACUAGAGGCAGGUAGGGGAGAAUGGAAUUCCCGGUGUAGCGGUGAAAUGCGCAGAUAUCGGGAAGAACACCCGUGGCGAAGGCGGCUCUCUGGAACGCAACUGACGCUGAGGCGCGAAAGCGUGGGGAGCAAACGGG
rnacentral:rRNA from 1 species